UACGUAGGGUGCGAGCGUUGUCCGGAAUUAUUGGGCGUAAAGAGCUCGUAGGCGGUGUGUCGCGUCGGUCGUGAAAACUUGGGGCUUAACCCUGAGCUUGCGGUCGAUACGGGCAUCACUGGAGUUCGGCAGGGGAGACUGGAAUUCCUGGUGUAGCGGUGAAAUGCGCAGAUAUCAGGAGGAACACCGGUGGCGAAGGCGGGUCUCUGGGCCGAUACUGACGCUGAGGAGCGAAAGCGUGGGGAGCAAACGGG
rnacentral:rRNA from 1 species